UCAUUGGCCACUCAUAUCCUCUUUGCUUAUUUGUUUGUUGUAUGUGAGGAUGCAAUUGUAAGACCAUGUUGUUGACAUUUGUACUCCCAUGAUCAUAUGUUGGAGGUUGGAAUAAGUCCAGGUAGAUUGGCAUCCGACAUCCAUGUUUUGCUUUUGUGAGAUUGGAGUAAGCCCAUUUAUUGGCUUCCGGUAUCAUUGU
rnacentral:lncRNA from 1 species